UUGCCUAAAGACAGACCUUCAAGACAAGGGUAGUCUCGCAGGAAGUGAAAGGCUAGAAAUCUUGAUAAAAAUAUGUUAUAAGUUGUUAAUUUUAUAUAGAAAAUAGUAGCGGAUGCAUUUAAUUAUACCUUCAUACCUUUAAACGAGUUACAGUAUAGCUGAUCAGAUCGGUCAAUUUACGGGAAUAUAAUUAUUUUACAUGCGUAUCGAACUCAAAUCUGCCAACAAACUGAAAGUAAUAGCAAUCGAUCUUUCUUUACCAAUCGUGCAACAUCGGGCAUUUCCGUAUGCUCCGGUAAAUACACAAUUGCGUAGCAUAAAGGCUGAUGUGAUCAGAUAUGCGAUCUUUACCAGUUUGAACUGGAAUAUUCAAGAUUCAAGAAGACAUUGGAUGAAAAUGGACAGGAAAAGCAGUAGAUUUAUGUUUCGGAGAGGAAAAUAUCGACAAUGAAGUUUCUUGAUAAAACUUGACAAGUGUGCAAGGGAGCUGUAAAGUCGUCUUUAAAUAUCUGUUAAAUCAGUCGUUAAAAAACUUAAUUGUUGAAACUGCUGAAAGCAACAACAAGAAUUUAUAAUAGAGAGCAUUAAGCUAUUUAGAAGAAAAAAACACACAAUAAAAAGAGUGCUGAAAAAUGGCCCUCGGGGCUGACAAUCUUAUCGAUCAUAGCGAAGAAGACCACGAACGGUUGGUAAAUAAUUAUUCAGUAAACAGCUGCAUGUCGGAGAAUAACGAGUUCACGGUAACUCGGUCGUUCGGUGACCGAAAAUAUUCAACGAUGUGUUUCAAACCGAGCAACCAGAAUAUGGUUGAUAUUGUUAUAACACAAGGACAGUAUAAGAAUGGAAAACCGGAUCUGUUAAUCCACCACCUCGGAUCACAGGAUAUUCGAAGGAAAUACUCUGUGAAAGCUAAAUUUGGAGUUGCAACUGUGGUAGUAAUGCUAAUUGUGAUGCUUGCUUUCGUGUUGCUAUGCUUGUUGGCUCCUCCACAAGGACAUUCAGAGUCGAGCAGUUCUGGCUUUACAACGAUAAUCGAACAUACCAAUACAACAGCAUUAAAUUUGACACAGACUGCUUCAGUUUCCGACGGACAAAACAGGAGUUACACGUCUACUGCAAAAAACUUGGAUGGGAAGAAUGCUGUUCUUGAAACACCAAAUUAAUGAUUUAUAGGUUUUUUUUCUUGCUUAUGUUGUAUAAUAAACACUUGUAAAGGCUUAAAUCAAAUUAGUGGGCUGACGCUUGUUUACUUGAACACACCUUGAUCAUACCUCAGAUGUCAUGGUAAAAGCUGUUGCUUUGUAGGUAAAGUGUAACUGUCCACCUUGUGAGAAAAACUAGAUAAUUUAAAAGCAAAAUACCAUAACCAUUUGUCACAAAAUUAAAAGAAAAGUGUAAUGAAAUGAUUUUUGACAUUUGUUGAUCAAAAGUUGAAUAAGUCAUUAUUGUAGAUUUAAUUGUUUAUCCACUGCCAAUUUUACUGUGUUUUGUUUUUAAGCAAAUGUUAGCUGAAAAUCUAACAAUGUUAUGUAAUUGACAUUGAAACUAAGUUUGAAAUUAGGUUUGCUGAUAAUGUUGUUGCUUAUAUACUCUGGGGUUAAAUUUUUUAAAGAUAUUAUCAGAAGAAGGACCAACACUUUUUGAUGAUUUUUUUUUUAUGAGCAUUGGGGCCAAUACUCUAUUUGCAAUCAAAAUUUAUAUGUGGUUUAAUAUGAGAAUUAACAAAUGACUACAGAAUGUUCUUGAGCCAUGUUUUUCAUUUUCUCUUGUAUAUUGAAACAUUGUAUUAAUAUAUCAAAUCUAUUUAACAUAAUUGUGAUAUGUUGACUCAUCAUAUCUAUACCAUUAUUGUGAUAUAUUACCUCAUUGUAUCAAACUUUCGAAUAAUCAAACAUAUCAACUUUAACAUCUGAAAUAACCUUUUUCAGUUUAACUUUUGCAUGGUGGCUAUAAUUCCUUUGUUGUUUUUCUGUUAGCUUAAUUAACGAAACAAAGUAUAUGAAGAGCUGUGCUUCUAAUCCUUGGGCCAGUGUCCAUGUCCAUGCCCACACCUUGGAUCAAGUUGUGAUACACUUCCACUUUAUUCCUGUUAAUAUUUGGAUGGAUUUUCUAAAAACUUCAAAUACAUGUAGUUAUUCCACAUCUGACAUCGACCACAUCUUUUGACGCAAGGAUCUGAACUCUUAACAUUGGUAUUUUAUGAAUGAUCCCACUUAUGGCUUGGAAUUGUUGGUUAAAGUUUUGGUACAGAUUCUCCCUAUCUUUCUCAUUAUGGGUUUGAUUUAAACUUGAAAUAUUUAUUCCAGAUCAUCACUCAAAUAAUAUGACAUUAAAUUUUCUGCUCUGUCUCAGCUACUUGAAGUUGAUUCAAAAUAAUUAUAAAAAUAAUUUUUCCCAAUUUAUAGUCACAUGAUAUGACACAUGAUGUAUUGCACAUGCAGAAAUAUUUGAUGAAUUAUGUCCCUUUCAUAUGACACACUUUCAAUUUACCUUUGUUAAUAUCAAUAUAUACAUGUGACUUAGACUUGAACUGUUGUCCAGUAUCAUCAUCUGCAUUGGCUUCAAUAAACUCUUCAGCUUUCUUAGAUGCGCCCUAAUCCAAAAUUCAGAUUAGAUAGUGGAGCUGUGUCCUAUGACAGCAUUUGUUAGAAAUAUUGCUGAGAUUCCAUUUUACUAGAUUGUAAAGCUAGAUAUUUGUGUAUUAUAGUUUAACAUGGCUGUUAAAAGCUUUUCUUGUUAUGCAAUAUCUGUUGAAUGUAAACUCUUGCCAAAUGGUUUUUUACAAUGUGAGAUUGAUAUAAUUUUGGUGUUGAUAAAUUUCUCCGAUAGGAUUGUUCAGACAAAUCUAUUAAAACUGUGAUUCUACACAUAAAUGAGCCGCCUGCUAAGCUCAAUAGGGAGAACGCGGAUCUACAGGUCUCGGUGUCGUGAGUUCGAGCCCUGGGCAAGGCGUAUGUUUCUCCGUGACGAUUUGAUAAAAGACAUUGUGUCUGAAAUCAUUCAUUCCCUUUCUGAUUCAUGAGGGGAAUUUGGCUUUUACUUACGGAGAACAGGUUUGUACUGGUACCGAAUCCAGGGACACUGGUUAGGUUGACUGCCCACCGUUACAUAACUGAAAUACUGUUGAAAAACAGUGUUAAACCUUGGAACAAACGAACAAACACAAUGAGCAUUAACAUUUUGCUAAAAAGUUGUACUAUUCUAAACAUUUUUUACCAAAUUCAAGCAUAUUGCACCAGUAUGACUAUGUGAAACUUCGCUGUGAUUUAUGAAUUUGUAUAAAAAAUUGAACCCUGUUCCAGGUAAACAGAUUUAAUGCUGAUUAUGUCAUUCACUUAAAUGUGUUCUUCCAUUUAAUAUUCACAAGCCCUGCCAAAUAACAGCAAUAAUCCUGCUCACCAGUGCAGGUGUUUAAUCAAUUUUACAGUCACAUUUACAGCAAUUAGAGUAAUGAUUUUCUCUAGUUUUAGAGUUGGAUGUUGUACACCACAGCAAUCUCUUAUUUAUGACCUGUAAACCUGUUCUCUAUGUGGUGUUCAUAUUUGGUAUGUCUGCCUUCUAAUUUUGGGAUUGCGGGUUCAACCCUAGAUUGGAUAAAGUAACUGAACAGUACCUUGUAAUGAAUGUAAAUUUACAAGUGGGGUUUGAAAGGUAUUUUCAGCAAAUUUGUCAGAAAAGUGUCUUUGCUUCUAAAGCAUUGCUGUUAACUAUUAUACAUGUAAAAGAAUUGAAUCAUUUUUUGUCAAACAUGCACUGUGCCGUAUUUCUGUUGAGCUAACAGACAUAAACACACUAUUACUAAUAAUUAUAGGAUCCUGUAAUCUCAUGCCAUUGACAGCAUAAUUGGUAGAGCACAUAGAAGAUGUCAAUCUUCACUUGUAAUUUUUUGCUUUUAUAUUGUUGAAUAGUUAUUGGUUAUACAUUUUUUCUUGUUACAUUGAUUUGAUCCUGUUGUCUAAGUUGUUUUUUUACCUAGUUGCAUAUUUAUAAUCAGUCGCUAGUUCUUUGUUAGGCCUAAAAAAUUCUUUGUUUCUGGUAACAUUUAAUAAAGUGGGACUUUUUGGAAAUUAUUUUUAU
rnacentral:misc_RNA from 1 species